GGGCAAUUGUGUCAAAGUGGUGAAUUGUGUGAGAUGGUGGCCACUUACUGUAUAAGUAGAGGAAAUGUGGCUGAACAAAUCUGUAACGAUGUUAACAGUGCCCUCUUAAUGAACUAAUGAUUAAAUGUUUUGUUGCAUAUUUUGCAGAGAAAACACAGAAAUCAUCUGGAGAGAUACAAAGUCCUCACUUCAACGGCCCC